AGAGUUUGAUCCUGGCUCAGCGCGAACGCUGGCGGCAUGGCUAAAACAUGCAAGUCGAACGCGAACGCACCUUCGGGUGCUAGUAGAGUGGCGAAAGGGCGAGUAAUGCGUUUCUACGUACCCCCUGGUCAGGGAUAGCCCAUCGAAAGGUGGAUUAAUACCUGAUGUGGUCCUUCGGGAUCAAAGGCUUGCCGCCAGGGGAGCGGGGAACGUCCUAUCAGGUUGUUGGUGAGGUAAAGGCUCACCAAGCCUUAGACGGGUAGCGGGUGUGAGAGCAUGACCCGCCGCAUCGGGACUGAGACACUGCCCGGACUCCUACGGGAGGCUGCAGUAACGAAUCUUCCGCAAUGCGCGAAAGCGUGACGGAGCAAUGCCGCGUGCAGGAUGAAGCUUCUCGGAGUGUAAACUGCUGUCAGGGUUUAGCAAACAAAUGAGCAGACCCAAAGGAAGGGCCGGCUAACUUCGUGCCAGCAGCCGCGGUAACACGAAGGGCCCGAGCGUUGCGCGGAAUCAUUGGGCUUAAAGCGUACGUAGGCGGGCGCGCAGGCGUUUUGUGAAAGCCCUCGGCUCAACCGAGGAACUGCUUGACGAACCGCGUGUCUUGAAGCAAGUAGGGGCUGUCGGAACGAUAGGUGGAGUGGUGAAAUGCGUUGAUAUCUAUCGGAACGCCGAAGGAGAAAUCAGGCAGCUGGGCUUGUCUUGACGCUGAGGUACGAAAGCGUGGGGAGCGAACGGGAUUAGAUACCCCGGUAGUCCACGCCGUANACGAUGUGCACUAGAUCGAGGGGGUUCUGACACCGCUCUCGGUCGAAGCGAAAGUGUUAAGUGCACCGCCUGGGGGAGUACGGUCGCAAGGCUAAAACUCAAAGGAAUUGACGGGGGCUCACACAAG
rnacentral:rRNA from 1 species